rnacentral:rRNA from 1 species
ACGCUGGCGGCGUGCCUAAUACAUGCAAGUAGAACCGCUGAAGGAGGAGCUUGCUCUUCUGAUGAGUUGCGAACGGGUGAGUAACGCGUAGGUAACCUGCCUGGUAGCGGGGGAUAACUAUUGGAAACGAUAGCUAAUACCGCAUAAGAGUAGAUGUUGCAUGACAUUUGCUUAAAAGGUGCAAUUGCAUCACUACCAGAUGGACCUGCGUUGUAUUAGCUAGUUGGUGAGGUAACGGCUCACCAAGGCAACGUUACAUAGCCGACCUGAGAGGGUGAUCGGCCACACUGGGACUGAGACACGGCCCAGACUCCUACGGGAGGCAGCAGUAGGGAAUCUUCGGCAAUGGACGGAAGUCUGACCGAGCAACGCCGCGUGAGUGAAGAAGGUUUUCGGAUCGUAAAGCUUCUGGUGUAAGAGAAAGAAACGAAG